AUUGAACGCUGGCGGCAUGCCUUACACAUGCAAGUCGAACGGCAGCACGGGAGCAAUCCUGGUGGCGAGUGGCGAACGGGUGAGUAAAGUAUCGGAACGUGCCCAGUCGUGGGGGAUCACGUAGCGAAAGUUACGCUAAUACCGCAUACGAUCUAUGGAUGAAAGCGGGGGAUCGCAAGACCUCGCGCGAUUGGAGCGGCCGAUAUCGGAUUAGGUAGUUGGUGGGGUAAAGGCUCACCAAGCCGACGAUCUGUAGCUGGUCUGAGAGGACGACCAGCCACACUGGGACUGAGACACGGCCCAGACUCCUACGGGAGGCAGCAGUGGGGAAUUUUGGACAAUGGGCGAAAGCCUGAUCCAGCCAUGCCGCGUGCAGGAUGAAGGCCUUCGGGUUGUAAACUGCUUUUGUACGGAACGAAAAGGUUUGGCCUAAUAAGCUGAGCUCAUGGCGGUACCGUAAGAAUAAGCACCGGCUAACUACGUGCCAGCCGCCGCAGUAA
rnacentral:rRNA from 1 species